rnacentral:lncRNA from 1 species
ACUGUUCGCUGAGCGAAACAUCAGUAGACUGGAACCGCCUUCCCGGAUCUGUGAC